GCAUGUCUAAGUAUAAACAAUUUAUACAGUGAAACUGCGAAUGGCUCAUUAUAUCAGCUAUAAUUUAUUUGAUGAUACCUUUUACUACUUGGAUAACCGUGGUAAUUCUAGAGCUAAUACAUGUGCUAUUAACCCCGACUUUACGGAAGGGGGGCAUUUAUUAGAUACAAAACCAAUGGGGGCAACCUCUUACUUGGUGAUUCAUAAUAACUAAGCGUAUCGCAUGGCCUUGAGCGGCGAAGGAUCAUUCAAAUUUCUGCCCUAUCAACUUUUGAUGGUAGUCUAGUGGACUACCAUGGUGGUAACGGGUAACGGGGAAUUAGGGUUUGAUUCCGGAGAGGGAGCCUGAGAAACGGCUACCACUUCUAAGGAAGGCAGCAGGCGCGCAAAUUACCCAAUCCUGAUACAGGGAGGUAGUGACAAUAAAUAACAAUCCAGGGCCUUUUAGGUCUUGGAAUUGGAAUGAGUACAAUUUAAACCKUCUUAACGAGGAACAAUUGGAGGGCAAGUCUGGUGCCAGCAGCCGCGGUAAUUCCAGCUCCAAUAGCGUAUAUUAAAGUUGUUGCAGUUAAAAAGCUCGUAGUUGAACUUUAGACUGACGAAGAUUUAGGUUUGUGUUGCCUUGUGAUUAUGGAUUAAUUUUCAUGGUUGCUUGGCAUUUGCGGCCUAGAAAUUCCUGGUCUUUUUAUUCUGGAGUUUUAAAAGUGGAGAUUUUUGGUAGCAAUAUCAUGCUCUGUUUUUAUAACCAGAACUUUUACCUUGAAAAAAUUAGAGUGUUUAAAAGCAGGCGAAGUCCUGAAUAUAUUAGCAUGGAAUAAUAAAAUAGGACUUUGGUUUUAUUUUGUUGGUUUAUAAAACCAAGGUAAUGAUUAAUAGGGACAGUUGGGGACAUUUGUAUGGUACUGUCAGUGGUGAAAUACUUGACCAGUACCAGACAAACUGAUGCGAAAGCGUCUGGUCAAGGAUGUUUUCAUUAAUCCAAGGAACGAAAGUUAGGGGAUCGAAGACGAUUAGAUACCGUCGUAGUCUUAACCAUAAACUAUGCCAACUCGGGAUCAGGCAAUGUUAAAUUUUUAACGACUUGCCUGGCACCGUAUGAGAAAUCAAAGUUUUUGGGUUCCGGGGGGAGUAUGGUCGCAAGGCUGAAACUUAAAGGAAUUGACGGAAGGGCACCACCAGGAGUSCAGUGCGGCUCAAUUCGACUCAACACGGGAAAACUCACCAGGUCCAGACAUAGUGAGGAUUGACAGAUUGAGAGCUCUUUCUUGAUUCUAUGGGUGGUGGUGCAUGGCCGUUCUUAGUUGGUGGAGUGAUUUGUCUGGUUAAUUCCGAUAACGAACGAGACCUUAACCUGCUAAAUAUGCAACVCUAUUGGAAUUUAUUUCGAUGGGCGGAAUGCUUCUUAGAGGGACAGUCAGUGGUUAACUGACGGAAGUUUGAGGCAAUAACAVGUCUGUGAUGCCCUUAGAUGUUCUGGGCCGCACGUGCGCUACACUGAUGAAGUCAACGAGUUUAGCAGUAAAAUGCGAGUCCUUGGUUGAAAAGCCUGCRGUAAUCUUGUGAAACUUCAUCGUGAUGGGGAUAGUCCAUUGCAAUUCUUGGACUUGAACGAGGAAUUCCUAGUAAGCGCAAGUCAUCAGCUUGCGUUGAUUACGUCCCUGCCCUUUGUACACACCGCCCGUCGCUACUACCGAUUGAAUGAUUUAGUGAGGCCUCCAGACUAGCUAUAUUGAUUUGGCAACAAAACUUUACUGCUGGAAAGUUGGUCAAACUUGUUCAUUUAGAVGAAGUAAAAGUCGU
rnacentral:rRNA from 1 species